UACGUAGGGGCUAGCGUUAUCCGGAAUUACUGGGCGUAAAGGGCGCGUAGGUGGUUUCUUAAGUCAGAGGUGAAAGGCUACGGCUCAACCGUAGUAAGCCUUUGAAACUGGGAAACUUGAGUGCAGGAGAGGAGAGUGGAAUUCCUAGUGUAGCGGUGAAAUGCGUAGAUAUCGGUAGGAACAUCGGUGGCGAAGGCGGGUAACUGGACUGCAACUGACGCUGAGGCGCGAAAGUGUGGGGAGCAAACAGGAUUAGAUACCCCUGUAGUCCCUGAGCGGG
rnacentral:rRNA from 1 species